rnacentral:rRNA from 1 species
UUGGCGGUAUUUUAGUCUAUUUAGAGGAACCNGUUCUAUAAUUGAUAAUCCACGAUUAAUUUUACUCGAUUUAUAAGUUUGUAUACCGUCGUUAUAAGAAGAUUUUAAAAGAAUCUAAAUUUUUAAUAUUUUAUAUAAAAAAAUAUAUCAGAUCAAGGUGCAGUAAAUAAUUAAGGAGAAAUGGGUUACAAUAAAUAUAUUUAAUUUAAUGAAUUAAAGUAUGAAAAAUCUUUAUGAAAGUGGAUUUAAUAGUAAUAAAAUUAAUUUAAGUUUUGUGAUUUGAGCUCUAAGAUAUG